AGUUCAAUUUCAAGUUAAUGUUAAUGGCGAAACCUCAGGAACAGGUGUCAUGCCGAGUUUUGUUUUCCGUCAUGUAUUUUAUUCAGUAUCCUGAACCUUUGAACUUUUGGGCUAUUCUUCAUUCAUUGUCUCAUGCAGAUGCUCGUUGUUUUAAGUCUUACUAGAGUUGAGUUGAUGAGGAUGAUUUUUCGAGUGACAAUCAGAAGUUGUGGCACGGCGCCUGGUUUUUCAUAUUUGCCUUCUUGUUUUCUUGAUACUUACAUUUCUUUUCAAAUGGUGAUAUGUUAUGGUGUUGUUAGUGUUUUUUGCUGUAGUUCAUGGAUUUUCCUGUGCAGAAGUUUUGUAGCUCAGAGUCUUGGAUCUGCAUUGAUUCCUUGAGAAACACACUCCACAUUUGGUUUCUUAUUCAUUGUCUUCUUUCAUGGGGUUUAUACUUCCUGGCUUGAUAGUUCAACAUAUUCGUAUGGUGAUGGGUUCAUUCUUUUCUUUAACUUAAUUAUCUUCUCUCAAAAUUCUGUUCUUUGAAUUUCGUGUGGGGCCUCAAGAUCCUUAAUCUUUUAUGACUCUGCGCCUCUCCCAUUCAUUUCUAUAUUGUGCUGGUCUUUAAUUAAUUCACACAUUUUAAGGUUUGGCAGAUGCUCGUCUUUAUUGGUAUUGCUGUUUUUGUCUGUUUAAAUGUCUGUUUUGUCUGGUUGAAGGUGGAUUCAAUGCAGUAUGUGCAGCUUUGUGCAAUACUUUGGCCAUUCAGGGUUGGAUAUUCUUUGGUGCUUCUCUUUUUUUUCUCCUAUUCUUUGGCUGUUUCAGAAGGGCACUUGUUAAGAUAUUUGCUCCUUCAUUUGAUAUUUUAUUGAUGAGUGUAUAUAAUCUGGCACCACCAUUUGAACUCAUGCAAUGUGUUUGCAGUUGCAUCCUAACUUGUCUUUUACUGGAGUCGCACUUUGUCAGAGCCUAGAACAUCUCUUUUAAGAGGUGGUUUUAUGUUUCUUUGCUUGCGAUUUAGUUCUCUGUAGACCUUAAAUGUGGCAUUUUUGAGCAAAUGUAUUAUGCAAAUUCAUUUCACAUCUUUUUUACUUGAUUACAUAUUAAUGGAAUGGGUAUUCAAGCAAACCAAUGGAUUUGGUCAUGUGUGACAGUCAAGAGGAAUGGGAGUUGCCUUUGUAGAGUGUACGUCUUUCCUUUUGGUCUUGUCUUCAUUGGAAUGUGGACUGCUUUUAGUAGUGUCCUGUGCUUCUUGGCUUACCAUUCUUCUUGGAUAUUUGGUCUGUAUAUUGUCAGCUUGCUCGUGAGGCUCGGGAGAAUGGGGAUGCUCUUAAGAGGUGUAUGGUACUUCCUGGCUUAUGGUUUAUUUUUGUUAGAUUUUAUCAGAUAUGAUUUGAGCAAAGAGUUUUGUGCAGCAACGUUUGUCUCUUAAUGGAGUCCUAGGGUUUAUAGAAGGAGGGCAGGCUGCUGAUUGUUUUAAGAGGGAGUAGGAAUGUAUCAUUGGACUGUAGAGCAGCACUUGCUGACACAUAAACUGAGUAUGACUUUGAUCUUCGUUGAUGGAACUAUUAUUUGAGGGGUCGUGAGAUUUGAUUUUGUCGUUUACAUAGUAUCUUAUUUCCAAUUUGUAUCGAAGUUUUAUUCAUUGAUCUCAUUUUAGCCGAGGUUUACUCAUGUUCAAGUUGACGGGAUUGAUUUGAUUUUUCAGCUGAAGUGGAUAGGAUGACUUGCUUACAUUGUCUUUGGAUUUCAGCAUUUCGAUCUUAAAUGAGCUUAUCUUCUAUGUCUUGCUCAAUUUUCCCAGAAUAUGGGCUGAGGUGUUGGAGGUGGUGGUUUGUGGUCUGCUGAAGGGUUUGGAUUUUGUCUUAAACAUAGUGACCUGUUGGCAUCUUUGGGUCCGAGUGCCUGGUUUGCUUUUGCUGGUUCUUUUGUUGUGGCAUAUUACUCUUCUUCUUUUUUCUGGCAGGCUAAAGUUGCUUAAGUUCAUGAUGGGUCAGUAUGUUGGAUAUUUGAAAUUUCUGGUCAGAGUAGUCCAUUGUAGAAGGUUGGGUUUUUUAGCUUGAAGUGUGCUGAACUGAUCCGUUUAGGUUACACAUGGUGUAUGCUUUGGUGUAUCAUUUAAUUUGUUUCCCGUAAGAGAUAAGAUUUGAUACCUGUUUUAUGUGGACAGUCUUCCUGAAGAAGUGGGUUUGUUAGAGGUGGAGAAGUGCAGGUCUUUAAAAGGGGUUGUUUAACAAGUUAACAAUCUGGCAUAAUUAUAUGGGUCGUGUUUUAAGCAGAAGCAAUCUCAUUCUUUCAGUGCUCCGUCUCAGAUUCAAGUUUAUGCGCAGAGCUGAUAGAACUGUUUUUUAAACUGCUCAUGGAAAUAGAUGGGGUAUGACAUGCGUUGUUUCCCUUUCCUGUCUUCUUAGUUUCGUGAGCUGAUAGCACUUUUUUCUAUAAUUGUUCCUUAUAUAGCUUUUGUGUUCAUUUGGGUGGCCUGAUAGGAUCUGUUGUUCUUUUCUUCAUUUGGUGCUGCUUAUGUGUAGUCCAACUUAUUGAACAUUGCAAUCUGACACUGUUUCUAUGAUCAGUUUGACAUUUUAAAAGGUUUUGAGUAUUGAUUAAAUUGUUCAUUGUUGGUAUCAUAUUAGACAUUUUGAACUUUGAUGUGUUUUUUAUACUUACGCCCAUAUUAGUUGCUGGGUGUGUUUCUUUUAUUGGUUUAGUUGCUGGUUAUGUUUCUUUUAUUGGUUUAAUAAUGCAGUGGUUGAGUGUCAUUCGACUAUUCCCAGCUGCUUGCUAAUAAUACAGGUCCUUUUUUUAGAACUAAUGUGAAUGUGAGUCGUGCUUUUAUGUAUGCAUAGCUUACUUUGGAUCCUGCGAAAACCUACAAUAUAACAAUGAACAAAUGUGCUAUAGCUGCAUUUUAAGCUCGUGAAGUGUGGAAGGGAUGAUAGGGAUGAGGUCCUCUGAGAGAGUGCAUUACAUGUAAUACUUAUCUCUAAUUUAUGACUAAGUAAUGAACUUACAAAGAGAACAUGUUAUGUAUUGAAAGAAUGUAGUCCUGGUUUGUCAUUUUGGAAUGAGCCAUUUACUUAGAUUGCUUAUUGUGGGAGAGAAUUUUUGUUUUGCUUUUGUUAAAGGAGAUUUCUAAACCAUGCCAUUUCUCUUGAAGUAGUUUUUCUUUUUGGAUAUUUGAAGUAUAUUUGUUAUAUCGAAGUUGCUUGGUUUUUGCAUAUAUGGUCGGAGUUUUUGAAGUUCUU